ACACAUGCAAGUCGAACGGAAAGGCCCUGCUUUUGUGGGGUGCUCGAGUGGCGAACGGGUGAGUAACACGUGAGUAACCUGCCCUUGACUUUGGGAUAACUUCAGGAAACUGGGGCUAAUACCGGAUAGGAGCUCCUGCUGCAUGGGGGGGGUUGGAAAGUUUCGGCGGUUGGGGAUGGACUCGCGGCUUAUCAGCUUGUUGGUGGGGUAGUGGCUUACCAAGGCUUUGACGGGUAGCCGGCCUGAGAGGGUGACCGGCCACAUUGGGACUGAGAUACGGCCCAGACUCCUACGGGAGGCAGCAGUGGGGAAUAUUGCACAAUGGGCGGAAGCCUGAUGCAGCAACGCCGCGUGCGGGAUGACGGCCUUCGGGUUGUAAACCGCUUUCGCCUGUGACGAAGCGUGAGUGACGGUAAUGGGUAAAGAAGCACCGGCUAACUACGUGCCAGCAGCCGCGGUGAUACGUAGGGUGCGAGCGUUGUCCGGAUUUAUUGGGCGUAAAGGGCUCGUAGGUGGUUGAUCGCGUCGGAAGUGUAAUCUUGGGGCUUAACCCUGAGCGUGCUUUCGAUACGGGUUGACUUGAGGAAGGUAGGGGAGAAUGGAAUUCCUGGUGGAGCGGUGGAAUGCGCAGAUAUCAGGAGGAACACCAGUGGCGAAGGCGGUUCUCUGGGCCUUUCCUGACGCUGAGGAGCGAAAGCGUGGGGAGCGAACAGGCUUAGAUACCCUGGUAGUCCACGCUGUAAACGGUGGGUACUAGGUGUGGGGUCCAUUCCACGGGUUCCGUGCCGUAGCUAACGCUUUAAGUACCCCGCCUGGGGAGUGCGGCCGCAAGGCUAAAACUCAAAGGAAUUGACGGGGCCCCGCACAAGCGGCGGAGCAUGCGGAUUAAUUCGAUGCAACGCGUAGAACCUUACCUGGGUUUGACAUGGAUCGGGAGUGCUCAGAGAUGGGUGUGCCUCUUUUGGGGUCGGUUCACAGGUGGUGCAUGGCUGUCGUCAGCUCGUGUCGUGAGAUGUUGGGUUAAGUCCCGCAACGAGCGCAACCCUUGUUCACUGUUGCCAGCACGUUAUGGUGGGGACUCAGUGGAGACCGCCGGGGUCAACUCGGAGGAAGGUGGGGAUGACGUCAAGUCAUCAUGCCCCUUAUGUCCAGGGCUUCACGCAUGCUACAAUGGCUGGUACAGAGAGUGGCGAGCCUGUGAGGGUGAGCGAAUCUCGGAAAGCCGGUCUCAGUUCGGAUUGGGGUCUGCAACUCGACCUCAUGAAGUCGGAGUCGCUAGUAAUCGCAGAUCAGCAACGCUGCGGUGAAUACGUUCCCGGGGCUUGUACACACCGCCCGUCAAGUCAUGAAAGUUGGUAACACCCGAAGCCGGUGGCCUAACCGUUGUGGGGGAGCCGUCGAAGGUGGGACUGGUGAUUAGGACUAAGU
rnacentral:rRNA from 1 species